CGGACUACAAGGGUUUCUAAUCCUGUUUGCUCCCCACGCUUUCGCACCUCAGCGUCAGUACCGAGCCAGUGAGCCGCCUUCGCCACUGGUGUUCUUCCUAAUAUCUACGAAUUUCACCUCUACACUAGGAAUUCCACUCACCUCUCUCGGACUCAAGACUGGCAGUAUUGAAGGCAGUUCCGAGGUUGAGCCCCGGGAUUUCACCCCCAACUGACCAGCCCGCCUACGUGCGCUUUACGCCCAGUGAUU
rnacentral:misc_RNA from 1 species